rnacentral:lncRNA from 1 species
UUCAUGGGCCAGAUAUUUUGGAGGUAGUCCGUUGUAACUUGCAGGGGUGUAUUUUGGACAAUCUGAUACUUCAUGGUGCUAAGUGAAUCUGUUGAUCAGCAGGAGUAUAAAAGUCACUUUCUCUCUCAUUUGAUCAUUAUUCACUCCAAAUUAUUGGUUUCUGUGCUCGGAAACUUGUGUUGAUAUCAGAUCUGGUUAGAUCUGGUUGUUCUUGGUGGUGAUUGGACUAAACCCUAGCUAAGGGUUGGCUGGUUGUUAACAGAUCUGGUUAGAUCUGUUCACUAUCUGAAGGAUCUUUGUACCCUCUUCUUGUCAAGACUUCUGUGUUGGUCUCUAGAUCCUUAGAAGAUCUAGGGCAAACUGACCAGAAGGGUUAUCUUGUGGUUUCUUGCAUCAGAUCCAGUAGUUCUUGAAAACUACAGAUCUGGUGAUCUUUGAAGGUUUUAUUGCACCCACUGUAAGCUGGUUCUAUCUCUCUUUUUUAUUUCUGUUGAUUGGAGUAGUUGAAGUCGGGGUAGUGAGGACCGGCACAUAUAUUUGUUAUUGGUUGUUAUUGAUUGUCUAGGGUAGAUUGGCUUCUGAGUAAAGGCUUGUCCAGGCACCUAUUGAGUGAUGAACCUGGAAUCUGGUCCCUGACUCAGUUUCGCCAUAGUGUUUUUUUUUUUUUGGCUGUUUUGUCUUUUGUUCUGUGUGUUUGCUGUUGUUUACCUGCUGGUGUUUGUUUGUAUAUUUGGUGUUUACCUGCUGGUGUUUGUUUGUAUAUCUGGUGUCUUAUUAUUGUUUGUCAUUAUGCCUCCUGAACCUGCUCCUAGUACUUCUCAGACUUUGAUUGGUAAAUUGGAUAUAGGAGAUCCAUUGUACUUACACCCUAGUGACUCCAGUAGUUUAACCAUUGUUAGUGUUAAACUCAAAGGUACUGAGAAUUAUGCUGUGUGGUCUAGUGCUAUGAAGUUGGCUUUAGAAGCUAAAAACAAGUAUGGGUUUAUAGAUGGUAAGGUGGAAAAGUCUAAGGAUGAUGAGAUAUUAGCUGCUCAGUGGGAUAGAUGCAAUUCUGUUGUACUUACUUGGUUAUUGAAUUCUGUUUCAGAAGAGUUGUUUCUUGGUCAAGUUUUUUCUAAACUAGCUUCUGAAGUUUGGACUGAUUUAAAAGAGUCUUUUGAUAAGAUUGAUGGUUCUGUUGUCUAUGAUCUGUAUAAGAAAAUAAACUGUAUUGCUCAAAAUGGUAGUACUGUUGCUGAAUACUAUAAUAAGUUGACAACAAUGUGGAAGCAGUUUGAUGCAAUGCUUCAACUGCCUUCAUGUUCUUGUCAAGCUGCUAAGGACUAUAAUGACUUCUCUGCUCUUAUAAAGUUAAUGCAGUUUCUCAUGGGGCUUGAUGAUAUCUAUCAACCUGUGAGAACUAAUAUUUUAACAAGAGAAACAUUUCCAUCAGUUAAAGUUGCUUUCUCUAUUGUUUCUAGAGAGGAGUCACAUAGACUCUCAAGUAGUGGUUCUAAGAGUCAAAGUGUCUCUUAUGUGGCUAGGUCUAAUCAAUCUAAUCAAAACACAUCAAAAAGAAAUUUUAGAGGACCUAAUUCAAAUCUAAAGUGUACUCAUUGUAAUAUGAUAGGUCAUACUGUUGAUAGGUGUUUUGAAAUAAUUGGUUAUCCACCUGGUAU